CUACGGGUGGCUGCAGUGGGGAAUAUUGGACAAUGGGGGAAACCCUGAUCCAGCAAUGCCGCGUGUGUGAAGAAGGCCUGCGGGUUGUAAAGCACUUUCGGUUGGGAGGAAUGCUUCUAGCACUAAUAUUGUUGGAAGUUGACGUUACCUUCAGAAGAAGCACCGGCUAACUCCGUGCCAGCAGCCGCGGUAAUACGGAGGGUGCAGGCGUUAAUCGGAAUUACUGGGCGUAAAGCGCGCGUAGGCGGCUAGAUCAGUCGGGUGUGAAAGCCCCGGGCUUAACCUGGGAACUGCAUCCGAUACUGUCUAGCUUGAGUACAGGAGAGGAGAGUGGAAUUCCACAUGUAGCUGUGAAAUGCGUAGAUAUGUGGAGGAACACCAAUGGCGCAGGCAUCUCCCUGGCCUGAUACUGACGCUGAGGUGCGAAAGCGUGGGGAGCAAACAGGAUUAGAUACCCGUGUAGUC
rnacentral:rRNA from 1 species